rnacentral:tRNA from 1 species
GCCGGAGUGGCGGAAUUGGCAGACGCGCUAGCUUGAGGGGCUAGUCCGAGUUAUAUCGGGUGCAGGUUCAAGUCCUGUCUCCGGCA